CAAUAUCGUCGCCCCGGCGGAGGCCGGGGCCGCUGGCGUCUUCUGCCAUGGCGUCGCCGCGCGAGCCGAUGGCGGCCCCGGCCUCCGCCGGGGCGACGAGAAAA
rnacentral:pre_miRNA from 1 species